rnacentral:misc_RNA from 1 species
GAUGAAGAACGUAGCGAAAUGCGAUAAGUAAUGUGAAUUGCAGAAUUCAGUGAAUCAUCGAAUCUUUGAACGCACCUUGCACCCUUUGGCAUUCUGAAGGGUAUGCUCGUUUGAGUGUCAUUGUACUCUCACACUCCCGAUCUUUGCAUUGGGAGCAGUGGACUUGGGUUUGCUGCUUCACCGUCGCUUACCUCAAAUAGGUUAGUGCAACUCUUGGUUGGACAUAGUACGGCGUGAUAAGUGUUCUUCGCCGGUGCCUCGCAAAGAGGGUGGCCGAUCGGGAUGUUGUGCUCCAAACCGUCUUCGGACAAUCUCUGGCGACUUGACCUCAAAUCGAGUAAGACUACCCGCUGAACUUAAGCAUAUCAAUAAGCGGAGGA